UCUCAAAUAGCUCAGUUGGUUAGAGUAUCGUGCUAAUAACGCGGUGGUCCAGGGUUCGAGUCCCUGUUUGAGAA
rnacentral:tRNA from 1 species